AUCCUUUUGUUGUUCAUAAGUGUGAUGAUUGGGUUUUCAUGCUCACACGUGAGAUAUACCUUCCUCAAACUUUGGUACAAUGUUGGCACGUUACCCAUUUGACA